GACAGGUCAUCCAAAGGAACACAAUUGUCAUCAAUCCUUUCCUUUGGCGUUUCAACAAGCAGGGAGGACUGACUCUUAUCACAGGUUUAUUAUGGGAACUCGCUCAUGCUGUUAUGGAGGUCAAGAAGUUUCCUGAUCUGCCUGCCGUCUGCAAGCUGGAGAGUGAGGAAAGUCAGAGGGACAAUGGGGUUUAAAGGCUUGAGAAGCAGCCCCUGCAAUCCUACCCUUAAAAGGACACCAGUGACAAGGAUCAGCGUCAGCCUUCGGAG